CAUGGCUCAGGAUGAACGCUAGCGGCAGGCUUAACACAUGCAAGUCGAGGGGCAGCGUGGAGCAGCAAUGCUCUGACGGCGACCGGCGGAAGGGUGCGUAACACGUGAGCGACUUGCCCGUCACAGGGGGGAUAACCGGCGGAAACGGCGACUAAUACCCCAUAUGAUGCGAUGCUGCAUGGCAUUGCAUUGAAAGAUUCAUCGAUGGGGAUGCGUUCCAUUAGGUUGUUGGCGGGGUAACGGCCCACCAAGCCUUCGAUGGAUAGGGGGUUCUGAGAGGAAGGUCCCCCACAUUGGAACUGAGACACGGUCCAAACUCCUACGGGAGGCAGCAGUGAGGAAUAUUGGUCAAUGGACGAGAGUCUGAACCAGCCAAGUAGCGUGAAGGAUGACUGCCCUAUGGGUUGUAAACUUCUUUUAUACGGGAAUAAAGUGAGGCACGUGUGCCUUUUUGUAUGUACCGUAUGAAUAAGGAUCGGCUAACUCCGUG
rnacentral:rRNA from 1 species